rnacentral:rRNA from 1 species
GACGAACGCUGGCGGCGUGCCUAACACAUGCAAGUCGAGCGAGGAGAGUUCCUUCGGGAACAAACCUAGCGGCGGACGGGUGAGUAACACGUGGGCAACCUGCCUUGUAGAGGGAAUAGCCUUCCGAAAAGGAAGAUUAAUACCGCAUAAUAUUACAGUUUCGCAUGAAACAGUAAUUAAAGGAGCAAUCCGUUACAAGAUGGGCCCGCGGCGCAUUAGCUAGUUGGUGAGGUAACGGCUCACCAAGGCGACGAUGCGUAGCCGACCUGAGAGGGUGAUCGGCCACAUUGGGACUGAGACACGGCCCAGACUCCUACGGGAGGCAGCAGUGGGGAAUAUUGCACAAUGGGGGAAACCCUGAUGCAGCAACGCCGCGUGAGUGAUGAAGGUUUUCGGAUCGUAAAGCUCUGUCUUCGGGGACGAUAAUGACGGUACCCGAGGAGGAAGCCACGGCUAACUACGUG